GAUGAACGCUGGCGGCGUGCCUAAUACAUGCAAGUCGAGCGAACAGACGAGGAGCUUGCUCCUCUGACGUUAGCGGCGGACGGGUGAGUAACACGUGGAUAACCUACCUAUAAGACUGGGAUAACUUCGGGAAACCGGAGCUAAUACCGGAUAAUAUCUUGAACCGCAUGGUUCAAUAGUGAAAGACGGUUUUGCUGUCACUUAUAGAUGGAUCCGCGCCGCAUUAGCUAGUUGGUAAGGUAACGGCUUACCAAGGCAACGAUGCGUAGCCGACCUGAGAGGGUGGUAGGCCGCAUGAGAGCGGAGACACGGUCCAGACGCCUAAGGGAGGCAGCAGUAGGGAAUGGGACGCAACGGGCGAGAGCCUGACGGAGCAAGGCCGCGUGAGUGAUGAAGAUCUUCGGAUCGUAAAAAUCGGUUAUGAGGGAAGAACAAAUGUGUAAGUAACUAUGCACGUCGUGACGGUACCGAAUCAGAAAGCCACGGCUAACUACGUG
rnacentral:rRNA from 1 species